AACAGGAGAGUGAACUUCGGACUGUGCUGUUUUUUUCUGUCCACUGCAACUUUCGGUCGAAUGAAAGUUGCAGUGUUACUAAGAUUAAGAACAUUUUCAGUAUUUUGUACAGUAUUUUGUACAGUAUUUUGCCAUUAAUUGAUUACCAAGUUUGGACAAUACAUGGUAAAGAAUGUGGACACAAGGAAAGUGUGUUUCAGACUACUCAAGUGAGGGGUCCUCCUACAACACCAGACACAAGAGAUAAAGUAAAAGAUAGAAGAAGGUGGAAGAACUCUUCCCUUAAUCAUGACUUCACAGAAGCCACAACCUUCACAGUAACUGAAGUGACGUUAAACUGCAGUUGGAUUAGUGACUCUGCCUGGAAAACAUGGAUGCGUUUGAGGGUCUCCACAGUGUCCAGCUGUCCUCCUCUCCACCCCUUGCCUCUGUCACCAAUCCAGGGUAUGAGGUUCUCGUAUCAGCCAGAUCUGGUAUCCAGGUAUACUCCAACACCACGUUCUAUGGUAAACCCAGUGUUCUAGAGCAGGCUCAGAAGAGAGGGAGAGCCAAAUAUCACUCCCACCGAGAGGAGACUAAAGAAGAGAGGUGUGAGGUUGGAAGGUUGGUAGACCUGGAGCCAGGUCCAAUCCCCAGGGUGGAGGGUGGAGGGCAGGGUGACCCCAGGCCCACCAGGCCCCAGGAGCAGGGUACCCAGGCCAGGGGCAGAGAGGGCAGCAGGCUGGAGCGUGCUGCCCAGCUGGAGGGUGCCCGGGGCAGGGAGCAUGAAGACAAUGUGUCCCGCCUUCGGAGCUCAUCCCUGGAGAUCAGAGAGAAGGGAUCAGAGAUCCUCAGAGAGCAGCUAGAUGCUGCACAGAAGGAGCUGAAGCUGAAGGAUAAGGAGUGCGAGCGUCUGUCACAGAUCCGGGAUCAACUAGAGCAGGAGCUGGAGGAGCUAACUGCCAGUCUGUUUGAGGAAGCCCACAGGAUGGUGCGUGAAGCCAACGUGAAACAAGCAACAGCAGAGAAACAGCUGAAGGAGGCUCAGGGAAAGAGUGAUGUUCUGCAGGCGGAGGUGUCAGCCCUGAAGACCAUGGUCCUGACCUCCACCCCGUCUUCCCCUAACCGCCGGGCCCACCCUCAGCUCCUCUCCCCGGGCACUAGGUCCAGGGGUGCCAGCCCCCACCACGGAGGGGGACACGCACGCAACAAGAGUGCCAGUGGUGCCCUCCCCUUGGCCCCUGGUGGACACUCAGACCUGCCCUCUGACCUGCAACCAGUCAGAGAGGACAAAGAGCCUACUGUUCCUGCGCUCCUCUUGCUGAUUCUAUGUCUGGUUCCAGGUCACUCUGUCUCUGUGACCUAUGAACCCUACUGGGCAGAGCAGGGGGAGAGGCCACGGUCUCUCAGCCGCCAGAUGGACAGCAUUCUGUAUGCAGAGUUCUUGACCUGGAAAAACAGACCUAGUCUGGACAGAAGUUCAGCCUUCCUGGUGCGGAUAUACAGGGAGGACAUCGGCCCCUGCCUCUCCUUCACACGAUCUGAGUUGUCUCAGUCAGUCCAGAGUGCAGUGGAGAACAACUCUCUAACCAUCGAGCCGGUGGCCAUGUCAGCUUUAUCCAUGGUCAGAGCCAACGCCAUAGUGUGUGGCGGGCCCAAUGGCUUGAAAGCAGCAGUAGAGACGUAAGUAACUUUAGGAGCUAAUCAUUUCAUUACCUUUUUCUUUUCCUGUAUCACUGUCCUGUAUCACUGUCCUGUAUCACGGUCCUGUAUCACUGUCCUGUAUCACUGUCCUGUAUCACUGUCCUGUAUCACUGUCCUGUAUCACUGUCCUGUAUCACUGUCCUGUAUGCUAAACCCUUCCUCUCUCAUCAGAAUGCCCUCCAGCACUCUGUCCAGCCAUGCAUGUCUUGUUGUUGAUCACUGACAGCUUGUCUGUCCUCCCAGCUUGUCUGUAGUCUAACAUACACAGGUCUUGUAAGGCAUCUUGUCUGUCCUCCCGGCUUGUCUGUAGUCUAAUAUACACAGGUCUUGUAAGGCAUCUUGUCUGUCCUCCCGGUGUGUCUGUAGUUUAACAUACACAGGUCUUGUAAGGCAUCUUGUCUGUCCUCCCGGCUUGUCUGUAGUUUAACAUACACAGGUCUUGUAAGGCAUCUUGUCUGUCCUCCCGGUGUGUCUGUAGUCUAACAUACACAGGUCUUGUAAGGCAUCUUGUCUGUCCUCCCGGUGUGUCUGUAGUGUAACAUACACAGGUCUUGUAAGGCAUCUUGUCUGUCCUCCCGGUGUGUCUGUAGUCUAACAUACACAGGUCUUGUAAGGCAUCUUGUCUGUCCUCCCGGUGUGUCUGUAGUCUAACAUACUCAGGUCUUGUAAGGCAUCUUGUCUGUCCUCCCGGUGUGUCUGUAGUCUAACAUACACAGGUCUUGUAAGGCAUCUUGUCUGUCCUCCCGGUGUGUCUGUAGUCUAACAUACUCAGGUCUUGUAAGGCAUCUUGUCUGUCCUCCCGGUGUGUCUGUAGUCUAACAUACUCAGGUCUUGUAAGGCAUCUUGUCUGUCCUCCCGGUGUGUCUGUAGUCUAACAUACUCAGGUCUUGUAAGGCAUCUUGUCUGUCCUCCCGGUGUGUCUGUAGUCUAACAUACACAGGUCUUGUAAGGCAUCUUGUCUGUCCUCCCGGUGUGUCUGUAGUCUAACAUACACAGGUCUUGUAAGGCAUCUUGUCUGUCCUCCCGGUGUGUCUGUAGUCUAACAUACACAGGUCUUGUAAGGCAUCUUGUCUGUCCUCCCGGUGUGUCUGUAGUCUAACAUACACAGGUCUUGUAAGGCAUCUUGUCUGUCCUCCCGGUGUGUCUGUAGUCUAACAUACUCAGGUCUUGUAAGGCAUCUUGUCUGUCCUCCCGGUGUGUCUGUAGUCUAACAUACACAGGUCUUGUAAGGCAUCUUGUCUGUCCUCCCGGUAUGUCUGUAGUCUAACAUACCUAACAUUUCUCACAUGUAUCUAACUCCAUCCGUGUGGAUGAAGCGACUCCAUAUCUGUCCAGGCCAUUUUAUUUGUUCCUUUUCUGAUGUUAACCAACUAACCAUCAUGUUGUCAUGUCUUCUACAUGUAUUGCCCGGUUUCCCAGACCCAGGUUAAGCCUAGUCCUCGGCGAAAGAACUUGCUCAGUGGAGAAUCUCCCUUGAAAGUGCUUUUCAGUAGAUGUUGAGGCUUAAUUUGUGUCCGUGAAACCCGACGCCGUAGAAUUCCAUAAAUGAGUGAGUUAGUUGGUGUUUUUUUCUUCUUUUUUUUCUCUCUGCCCCUAUAACAGGAAGUGUGCGUUGAGCGGCAUAUCCCGGUCCUGUAAGCACCAAAUCAAACUGGGCGACGAAGAGAGUUACUACUACAUCUCUCCCUCCAGCAGGGCACGGAUCACAGCCGUGUGUAACUUCUUCACCUAUAUCCGCUAUAUUCAGCAGGGCCUGGUCAGACAUGAUGCGGAACAGAUGUUCUGGGAGGUGACACGUCUACGGAGGGAGAUGACUGUGGCCAAGCUGGGCUUCUACCUCACAGACCAGGAAUAGGAGGACAGAUGGGAGGAGAUGUCACCGUAGACCUAGGUCGUGUUUAUUAGGGCACACCGGAGCAAAACGUUUAAAAAUGUUGUGCAACGGACAAUGAAAAGGAGCUAAUUUCUUCCUCUUCGUGCCCAGUGAACACGGCCCAGGGCUAAAAGACAGGAGUCACCAAUCAACUGUACGAUUUGAGAGUCAGAUCACCUGUACCGGUUUCACACUGUCAGGACAACCCAAACUGAACUGGGCUGGCUUGGUUUGGCUCAGUAGUGUGAGAAGCCCUCAGAAGGACAUGCGGGACACAGAAACCGGAUGGAGGCUUCAGGAGAACUAUGCUGCUCACUUUUCAUUCACACAGUGCCAUAUACCCUCCAGUACUGCGGCAUUACCCCUAGGUGUUGUCUCCUCUCUCCUUAGAACCACCCUCUCUCCUUAGAACCACCAUUGUCUCCUAUCACUUUACAACCACUGUUGUCUCCUCUCACCUUAGAACCACAGUUGUCUCCUCUCCUUAGAACCACAGUUGUCUCCUCUCUCUUUAGAACCACCGUUGUCUCCUCUCCUUAGAACCACCGUUGUCGCCUCUCUCCUUAGAACCACCGUUGUCUCCUCUCACUUUAGAACCACCGUUGUCUCCUCUCACUUUAGAACCACCGUUGUCUCCUCUCUCCUUAGAACCACCGUUGUCUCCUCUCACUUUAGAACCACCGUGGUCUCACUUUAGAACCACCGUUGUCUCCUCUCACUUUAGAACCACCGUGGUCUCACUUUAGAACCACUGUUGUCUCCUCUCACUUUAGAACCACCGUUGUCUCCUCUCACUUUAGAACCACCGUGGUCUCACUUUAGAACCACCGUUGUCUCCUCUCUCCUUAGAACCACAGUUGUCUCCUCUCUCCUUAGAACCACCCUCUCUCCUUAGAACCACCGUUGUCUCUUAUCACUUUAGAACCACCAUUGUCUCUUAUCACUUUAGAACCACCAUUGUCUCCUCUCACCUUAGAACCACCGUUGUCUCCUCCCUCUUUAGAACCACCGUUGUCUCCUCUCUCCUUAGAACCACAGUUGUCUCCUCUCUCCUUAGAACCACCGUUGUCUCCUCUCUCCUUAGAACCACCAUUGUCUCCUCUCUCCUUAGAACCACCGUUGUCUCCUCUCUCCUUAGAACCACCGUUGUCUCCUCUCUCCUUAGAACCACCGUUGUCUCCUCUCUCCUUAGAACCACCGUUGUCUCCUCUCUCUUUAGAACCACCGUUGUCUCCUCUCUCUUUAGAACCACCGUUGUCUCCUCUCUCCUUAGAACCACCGUUGUCUCCUCUCUCCUUAGAACCACCGUUGUCUCCUCUCUCCUUAGAACCACCGUUGUCUCCUCUCUCCUUAGAACCACCGUUGUCUCCUCUCUCCUUAGAACCACCGUUGUCUCCUCUCUCCUUAGAACCACAGUUGUCUCCUCUCUCUUUAGAACCACCGUUGUCUCCUCUCUCCUUAGAACCACCGUUGUCUCCUCUCUCCUUAGAACCACCGUUGUCUCCUCUCACUUUAGAACCACCGUGGUCUCACUUUAGAACCACCGUUGUCUCCUCUCACUUUAGAACCACCGUGGUCUCACUUUAGAACCACUGUUGUCUCCUCUCACUUUAGAACCACCGUUGUCUCCUCUCUCCUUAGAACCACCGUUGUCUCCUCUCUCCUUAGAACCACCGUUGUCUCCUCUCUCCUUAGAACCACCGUUGUCUCCUCUCUCCUUAGAACCACAGUUGUCUCCUCUCUCUUUAGAACCACCGUUGUCUCCUCUCUCCUUAGAACCACCGUUGUCUCCUCUCUCCUUAGAACCACCGUUGUCUCCUCUCUCUUCAGAACCACCGUUGUCUCCUCUCUCCUUAGAACCACCGUUGUCUCCUCUCUCCUUAGAACCACCGUUGUCUCCUCUCUCAUUAGAACCACCGUUGUCUCCUCUCUCUUUAGAACCACAGUUGUCUCCUCUCUCAUUAGAACCACUGCAGCAAACCAGACCACCUCUUACUUUGCCUUAACCUUGUUAGAUUCUUGCAGUACAUUGUAAAUGCCUUGCAUGGCUUAUACAGAAAGUAUGUCUGUAGUUAGAAUGGGUUAUAGAAGGGCCGGGAUUUACUCUGAAAAUAGCUGCAUUUUAGGCUGCUGAGUUCAGAAAUAGUGUGUGCACAUACUGUUACAUUCAGGUACUUCAGUUAAAUAAAGAAUCAGAUUCACUUUAUUUGCCAAGAACAUUUACACAUACCCAGAUGAAUAGGAGCUGCCACUUUUGUGCUGCGACUUGCAGUUACACGGUACCAGAAAUACAAGUUCCUGAACGAAAUGCCUAUUCAGUCUUCUCAAAUAUCCUCGUCUUCAUUCUGGAUGCUGUGACAGUUUUAGCAAUGACUAUACUAGAAACAGAGGUUACAGUCAUUUUGUUAUUUAACGUAAUGGAAUAAUAAACCAACCAUGGAUGAUUAAGCAA